rnacentral:rRNA from 1 species
CCUACGGGGGGCAGCAGUCGAGAAUCAUUCACAAUGGGGGAAACCCUGAUGGUGCGACGCCGCGUGGGAGAAUGAAGGUCUUCGGAUUGUAAACCCCUGUCAUGUGGGAGCAAAUUAAAAAGAUAGUACCACAAGAGGAAGAGACGGCUAACUCUGUGCCAGCAGCCGCGGUAAUACAGAGGUCUCAAGCGUUGUUCGGAAUCACUGGGCGUAAGGCGUGCGUAGGCUGUUUCGUAAGUCGUGUGUGAAAGGCGCGGGCUCAACCCGCGGACGGCACAUGAUACUGCGAGACUAGAGUAAUGGAGGGGGAACCGGAAUUCUCGGUGUAGCAGUGAAAUGCGUAGAUAUCGAGAGGAACACUCGUGGCGAAGGCGGGUUCCUGGACAUUAACUGACGCUGAGGCACGAAGGCCAGGGGAGCGAAAGGGAUUAGAUACCCGAGUAGUC